rnacentral:rRNA from 1 species
GAUGAACGCUAGCGGCAGGCCUAACACAUGCAAGUCGAGGGGCAGCACAGAAACAGCAAUGUUUUGGUGGCGACCGGCGGACGGGUGCGUAACGCGUAUGCAACCUACCUUUAACAGGGGGAUAACGGAGAGAAAUUUCCACUAAUACCCCAUAACAUCGAUCAAGGCAUCUUGAUUGGUUGAAAACUCCGGUGGUUAAAGAUGGGCAUGCGUCGUAUUAGGUAGUUGGUGAGGUAAUGGCUCACCAAGCCUACGAUACAUAGGGGGACUGAGAGGUUAGCCCCCCACACUGGUACUGAGGCACGGACCAGACUCCUACGGGAGGCAGCAGUGAGGAAUAUUGGUCAAUGGGGGCAACCCUGAACCAGCCAUGCCGCGUGCAGGAAGACGGCUCUAUGAGUUGUAAACUGCUUUUAAACAGGGAUAAAGCACAGUAUGUAUACUGUGUUGAAGGUACUGUAAGAAUAAGGAUCGGCUAACUCCGUGCCAGCAGCCGCCGUAA